AUAUUGUGUGAAUUCAUCAUAUUGCUUAAAGAUUCAUAGUCUAGGUUCAAUGAUUAUGCCACAUGUUGUGUAAUUGUUAUCCAGAAUUAGUGAUGUUUCUCUAGUACGCUAAAGCUGCUAUUGAGCUAAAUCUUGUGCUUGACUAAGGUUGUUCAAUUGGUUAUGGAUUAAUUAGAUGAUUGCUUUGAUUAAUCUAAUAAGUAAGGAGAAAUAGGGAAAUUAACACUUGUUUGGUUUAUACAAUCAAUUUGUUUAAGUGAAUUAAUUA
rnacentral:misc_RNA from 1 species